UACGGAGGGUGCAAGCGUUGUUCGGAAUUACUGGGCGUAAAGGGCUCGUAGGUGGCCAACUAAGUCAUACGUGAAAUCCCUCGGCUUAACCGGGGAACUGCGUCUGAUACUGGUUGGCUUGAGUUUGGGAGAGGGAUGCGGAAUUCCAGGUGUAGCGGUGAAAUGCGUAGAUAUCUGGAGGAACACCGGUGGCGAAGGCGGCAUCCUGGACCAAUACUGACACUGAGGAGCGAAAGCCAGGGGAGCAAACGGG
rnacentral:rRNA from 1 species